rnacentral:rRNA from 1 species
ACCUGCGGAAGGAUCAUUAAUGAAUUUGGAGGCUGUCGCUGGCUAGGUCAUUCUAGCAUGUGCACGUCUACUCUUUUAAACACACUUGUGAACCCAUUGUAGAUCGAGUCCAUCGAAAAGUAGCAUCAAACUACCUAAUAGAGGGCUGAUUGGCUUAUUGAAAAGUAUGAGGGCUUAUUGAAAAGUAGUGUGAACUACCUAAUAGAAAGCUUAGUACCUAAUAGAGGGCUGGUCGGCUUAUCGAAAAGUGGUAAGAACUACCUAAUAGAGGGCUGAGUUGGCUCAUCGAAACGUAGUUAAUAGAGGGCUAGUUGGCUUAUCGAAAAGUGUGAGGCUUAUUGAAAAGUAGUGUGAACUACCUAAUAGAAAGCUUAAUACCUAAUAGAGGGCUAGUCGGCUUAUCGAAAAGUACCUAAUAGAAGGGUCGGUUGGCUUAUUGAAAAGUAUGAGGCUUAUUGAAAAGUAGUGUAAACUACCUAAUAGAAAGCUCAGUACCUAAUAGAGGGCUAGUUGACUUAUCGAAAAGUACCUAAUAGAAAGGUUGGUUGGCUUAUUGAAAAGUACGGCUUAUUGAAAAGUGGUGUGAACUACCUAAUAGAAAGCUUAGUACCUAAUAGAGGGCUAGUUGGCUUAUCGAAAAGACUACCUAAUAGAGGGCCCCAGAAGAUCUAUGUUUAAUCUACACCACAUCGUAUGUCCAGAAAAUAUAAAUAAAUUACAACUUUCAGCAAUGGAUCUCUUGGUUCUCGCAUCGAUGAAGAACGCAGCGAAUCGCGAUAAGUAAUGUGAAUUGCAGAUUUUCAGUGAAUCAUCGAAUCUUUGAACGCACCUUGCGCCCCUUGGUAUUCCGAGGGGCAUGCCUGUUUGAGUGUCAUUUUAUCAUCAACUCAUUAGUCUUUGAUUAGGCUUUUGGGCUUGGACUUGGGAAUUGCUGGCUUGAUCUUUACUCAUUGAAAAGUAUCUAAUACUUAAUAGAGGGUAGAGUGUAGUCGGCUGUCCUUAAAUGCAUUAGCGAGUGUUAGUCUACAUGGCACGGCCUCUUGACGUGAUAAUGAUCGUCGUGGGCUGGAAGUGUAGUGUCUGGCUUCUAAUCAUUGAUUGCGUGCAUACGGCCCAUAAAGCUGGAAGCGCAACAAACCACGACUUACGUGCAAGCGUAGUUCGAAAUUGACAUUG